rnacentral:rRNA from 2 species
AAAUUGAAGAGUUUGAUCAUGGCUCAGAUUGAACGCUGGCGGCAGGCCUAACACAUGCAAGUCGAACGGUAACAGGAAGCAGCUUGCUGCUUUGCUGACGAGUGGCGGACGGGUGAGUAAUGUCUGGGAAACUGCCUGAUGGAGGGGGAUAACUACUGGAAACGGUGGCUAAUACCGCAUAACGUCGCAAGACCAAAGAGGGGGACCUUCGGGCCUCUUGCCAUCAGAUGUGCCCAGAUGGGAUUAGCUUGUUGGUGAGGUAACGGCUCACCAAGGCGACGAUCCCUAGCUGGUCUGAGAGGAUGACCAGCCACACUGGAACUGAGACACGGUCCAGACUCCUACGGGAGGCAGCAGUGGGGAAUAUUGCACAAUGGGCGCAAGCCUGAUGCAGCCAUGCCGCGUGUAUGAAGAAGGCCUUCGGGUUGUAAAGUACUUUCAGCGGGGAGGAAGGUGUUGUGGUUAAUAACCACAGCAAUUGACGUUACCCGCAGAAGAAGCACCGGCUAACUCCGUGCCAGCAGCCGCGGUAAUACGGAGGGUGCAAGCGUUAAUCGGAAUUACUGGGCGUAAAGCGCACGCAGGCGGUCUGUCAAGUCGGAUGUGAAAUCCCCGGGCUCAACCUGGGAACUGCAUUCGAAACUGGCAGGCUUGAGUCUUGUAGAGGGGGGUAGAAUUCCAGGUGUAGCGGUGAAAUGCGUAGAGAUCUGGAGGAAUACCGGUGGCGAAGGCGGCCCCCUGGACAAAGACUGACGCUCAGGUGCGAAAGCGUGGGGAGCAAACAGGAUUAGAUACCCUGGUAGUCCACGCCGUAAACGAUGUCUACUUGGAGGUUGUGCCCUUGAGGCGUGGCUUCCGGAGCUAACGCGUUAAGUAGACCGCCUGGGGAGUACGGCCGCAAGGUUAAAACUCAAAUGAAUUGACGGGGGCCCGCACAAGCGGUGGAGCAUGUGGUUUAAUUCGAUGCAACGCGAAGAACCUUACCUGGUCUUGACAUCCACAGAACUUUCCAGAGAUGGAUUGGUGCCUUCGGGAACCGUGAGACAGGUGCUGCAUGGCUGUCGUCAGCUCGUGUUGUGAAAUGUUGGGUUAAGUCCCGCAACGAGCGCAACCCUUAUCCUUUGUUGCCAGCGGUCCGGCCGGGAACUCAAAGGAGACUGCCAGUGAUAAACUGGAGGAAGGUGGGGAUGACGUCAAGUCAUCAUGGCCCUUACGACCAGGGCUACACACGUGCUACAAUGGCGCAUACAAAGAGAAGCGACCUCGCGAGAGCAAGCGGACCUCAUAAAGUGCGUCGUAGUCCGGAUUGGAGUCUGCAACUCGACUCCAUGAAGUCGGAAUCGCUAGUAAUCGUGGAUCAGAAUGCCACGGUGAAUACGUUCCCGGGCCUUGUACACACCGCCCGUCACACCAUGGGAGUGGGUUGCAAAAGAAGUAGGUAGCUUAACCUUCGGGAGGGCGCUUACCACUUUGUGAUUCAUGACUGGGGUGAAGUCGUAACAAGGUAACCGUAGGGGAACCUGCGGUUGGAUCACCUCCUUA